GAAAUCUUUGUAUGUAAGCAAACAGCUGCAUCACAGUGGCAUUAAUUUGAUUUAGGGCUCUGUUGGAGAUGAUGGUUUUGAUCACUGAUUUAAUACAGAGAAGGUCAAAUUUCUUGUGAAUUUAAGUUUUCUCUUUUACCAGUUGAUCAGCAUUCCACAUGCUGCCAUGGCAGUACUGAUCCAGACAUGUGAGGAAGAAAGGAUCAGCAGAACUCUGAACCAGCUGCUCUGUGGUGCCCUGAGAGGCAACACUGUCAGUACACAUAUGACUUCACUACCAGAUGGACACACAUACUCCAGAUUAGAUCUGCCUUCCUGGUGGGCUAAAAGAAUGACAAUGAUGGCAUCACAGAAAGGAACCGUUGAGAUAAAGCAUGAAAAGUACUUCUCAUCUAAUUUGGAGGUCUAAUCUGAAGUUUAUACACUUACAAUAGAAAAAGCUAAAUGUAUUU
rnacentral:lncRNA from 1 species